rnacentral:rRNA from 1 species
CAGCAGCCGCGGUAAUACGUAGGUGGCAAGCGUUGUCCGGAAUUAUUGGGCGUAAAGGGCUCGCAGGCGGUUUCUUAAGUCCGAUGUGAAAGCCCCCGGCUCAACCGGGGAAGGUCAUUGGAAACUGGGAAACUUGAGUGCAGAAGAGGAGAGUGGAAUUCCACGUGUAGCGGUGAAAUGCGUAGAGAUGUGGAGGAACACCAGUGGCGAAGGCGACUCUCUGGUCUGUAACUGACGCUGAGGAGCGAAAGCGUGGGGAGCGAACAGGAUUAGAUACCCGCGUAGUCCCUGUCUCUUAUAC